AUUGAACGCUGGCGGCAGGCCUAACACAUGCAAGUCGAGCGGAUGAAGGGAGCUUGCUCCUGGAUUCAGCGGCGGACGGGUGAGUAAUGCCUAGGAAUCUGCCUGGUAGUGGGGGAUAACGUCCGGAAACGGGCGCUAAUACCGCAUACGUCCUGAGGGAGAAAGUGGGGGAUCUUCGGACCUCACGCUAUCAGAUGAGCCUAGGUCGGAUUAGCUAGUUGGUGGGGUAAAGGCCUACCAAGGCGACGAUCCGUAACUGGUCUGAGAGGAUGAUCAGUCACACUGGAACUGAGACACGGUCCAGACUCCUACGGGAGGCAGCAGUGGGGAAUAUUGGACAAUGGGCGAAAGCCUGAUCCAGCCAUGCCGCGUGUGUGAAGAAGGUCUUCGGACUGUAAAGCACUUUAAGUUGGGAGGAAGGGCAGUAAGUUAAUACCUUGCUGUUUUGACGUUACCAACAGAAUAAGCACCAGCUAACUUCGUG
rnacentral:rRNA from 1 species